rnacentral:rRNA from 1 species
AGCUAUAUCGGUGGAUCACUUGGCUCGUAGAUCGAUGAAGAACGCAGUGAAUUGCGUUAAGAAUCACGAAUUACAGAUAUUAUGAGUGAUAUGUUUUCGAUUGCAUAUUGCACCGUUGGGCAUUUGCUCAUCGGUAUACCCAAUUCAGGGUGUG